AGAGUUUGAUCCUGGCUCAGGAUGAACGCUAGCGGCAGGCCUAAUACAUGCAAGUCGAACGGUAAAUAUUUUAGCAAUAGAAUAUGAGAGUGACGUACGGGUGCGUAACGCGUAUGCAACCUACCCAAAACAGGAGUAUAGCUCGGGGAAACUCGGAUUAACACUUCAUAGUAUCAUUGGAAGGCAUCUUUUGGUGAUUAAAACUGAGGUGGUUUUGGAUGGGCAUGCGUCUGAUUAGCUAGUUGGUGGUGUAACGGACCACCAAGGCGAUGAUCAGUAGGGGACCUGAGAGGGUGAUCCCCCACACUGGCACUGAGAUACGGGCCAGACUCCUACGGGAGGCAGCAGUAGGGAAUAUUGGUCAAUGGAUGGAAGUCUGAACCAGCCAUGCCGCGUGCAGGAAGAAGGCCUUCUGGGUUGUAAACUGCUUUUGCCAGGGGCUAAAAGGCCCAUGCGUGGGAAAUUGAAAGUACCUGGUGAAUAAGCCACGGCUAACUACGUGCCAGCAGCCGCGGUAAUACGUAGGUGGCAAGCGUUGUCCGGAUUUAUUGGGUUUAAAGGGUGCGUAGGCGGCCCCGUAAGUCAGUGGUGAAAUAUCUCAGCUUAACUGAGAGGGUGCCAUUGAUACUGCGGGGCUUGAGUACAGAUGAGGUAGGCGGAAUUGACGGUGUAGCGGUGAAAUGCAUAGAUAUCGUCAAGAACACCGAUAGCGAAGGCAGCUUACUAAGCUGUAACUGACGCUGAGGCACGAAAGUGUGGGGAUCAAACAGGAUUAGAUACCCUGGUAGUCC
rnacentral:rRNA from 1 species